rnacentral:rRNA from 1 species
AUGUUGGCCGGGCGACGGUUGUCCCGGUUUAAGCGUGUAGGCUGGUUUUCCAGGCAAAUCCGGAAAACUAAGGCUGAGGCGUGAUGACGAGGCACUACGGUGCUGAAGCAACAAAUGCCCUGCUUCCAGGAAAAGCCUCUAAGCAUCAGGUAACAUCAAAUCGUACCCCAAACCGACACAGGUGGUCAGGUAGAGAAUACCAAGGCGCUUGAGAGAACUCGGGUGAAGGAACUAGGCAAAAUGGUGCCGUAACUUCGGGAGAAGGCACGCUGAUAUGUAGGUGAAGUCCCUCGCGGAUGGAGCUGAAAUCAGUCGAAGAUACCAGCUGGCUGCAACUGUUUAUUAAAAACACAGCACUGUGCAAACACGAAAGUGGACGUAUACGGUGUGACGCCUGCCCGGUGCCGGAAGGUUAAUUGAUGGGGUCAGCGCAAGCGAAGCUCUUGAUCGAAGCCCCGGUAAACGGCGGCCGUAACUAUAACGGUCCUAAGGUAGCGAAAUUCCUUGUCGGGUAAGUUCCGACCUGCACGAAUGGCGUAAUGAUGGCCAGGCUGUCUCCACCCGAGACUCAGUGAAAUUGAACUCGCUGUGAAGAUGCAGUGUACCCGCGGCAAGACGGAAAGACCCCGUGAACCUUUACUAUAGCUUGACACUGAACAUUGAGCCUUGAUGUGUAGGAUAGGUGGGAGGCUUUGAAGUGUGGACGCCAGUCUGCAUGGAGCCGACCUUGAAAUACCACCCUUUAAUGUUUGAUGUUCUAACGUUGACCCGUAAUCCGGGUUGCGGACAGUGUCUGGUGGGUAGUUUGACUGGGGCGGUCUCCUCCUAAAGAGUAACGGAGGAGCACGAAGGUUGGCUAAUCCUGGUCGGACAUCAGGAGGUUAGUGCAAUGGCAUAAGCCAGCUUGACUGCGAGCGUGACGGCGCGAGCAGGUGCGAAAGCAGGUCAUAGUGAUCCGGUGGUUCUGAAUGGAAGGGCCAUCGCUCAACGGAUAAAAGGUACUCCGGGGAUAACAGGCUGAUACCGCCCAAGAGUUCAUAUCGACGGCGGUGUUUGGCACCUCGAUGUCGGCUCAUCACAUCCUGGGGCUGAAGUAGGUCCCAAGGGUAUGGCUGUUCGCCAUUUAAAGUGGUACGCGAGCUGGGUUUAGAACGUCGUGAGACAGUUCGGUCCCUAUCUGCCGUGGGCGCUGGAGAACUGAGGGGGGCUGCUCCUAGUACGAGAGGACCGGAGUGGACGCAUCACUGGUGUUCGGGUUGUCAUGCCAAUGGCACUGCCCGGUAGCUAAAUGCGGAAGAGAUAAGUGCUGAAAGCAUCUAAGCACGAAACUUGCCCCGAGAUGAGUUCUCCCUGACUCCUUGAGAGUCC